AUUAUCAUUAGCUUGGGCAUCUUCUUGGAGAACGUAUCUGCACUUGACUGUGUGGUGCGGUAUCCAGGACUUUUACUUUGAGGAGAUUAGAGUGUUUCAAGCAGGCACACGCCUUGAAUACAUUAGCAUGGAAUAAUAAGAUAGGACCUCGGUUCUAUUUUGUUGGUUUCUAGAGCUGAGGUAAUGAUUAAUAGGGAUAGUUGGGGGCAUUCGUAUUUAACUGUCAGAGGUGAAAUUCUUGGAUUUGUUAAAGACGGACCACUGCGAAAGCAUUUGCCAAGGAUGUUUUCAUUAAUCAAGAACGAAAGU
rnacentral:rRNA from 1 species